rnacentral:ncRNA from 7 species
GGCGGCAUGGCCAAGUGGUAAGGCAGGGGACUGCAAAUCCUUUACCCCCAGUUCAAAUCUGGGUGCCGCCU